AUUUGGUAUAUCACAUAUUUGCAUCAACCCGGCCGCAAGAAAUUCAUCAACAAUGGCUAUCUCGGAUUGUGAAGUGAUUUGAUCGGGUUGAAAUCGCCGAUCACAACGACAUCAUCAUUUGGGCCGAUGGACACACUUACGGACUCGACAAAAAGGCAAAAGGAGCGAUACCGAUCAAUGCUAGAGCUACUGCGUGUUCGGUACUGGCGAUGCAGUUUCGGACGGCAAUGAGAGCACCACCUCCAGAU